UUUUUUUUCUGCCAAUCUACAGUCCGUAUAGGUUUUUUCUACCCCCGAAAGCCCCACGUCCAAUGACUCCCUUUCGAAAUCCAAUAGAACAAAUCGAAUACAAAUCAGAUCAAAACCAAAUAGAAUACAAUACAAAAUCAAGACCACAGUUUUUUCUACCCCUGAAAGCCCCACGUCCGAUGACUCCCUUCCGAAAUCCAAUAGAACAAAUCGAAUACAAUUCAGAUCAAAUUGAGAUCAAAACCAAAUAGAAUACAAUACUUAUAUCUAUCCCUAAUAAUAAAGAGGCAAAAUUUCAGCCUCUUUCUUGGUCUGGAUUUUUUUUGGUCUGGCUAUUUAUAUUGAUGGUGAAGAUCGAAUAAAAAAUUGCUUUGGACGCAACAUAGAUGAGAAAGAAAACUCUCCAAAAUCAGACUUGAACUCACAGCCAACCAAUCCAAUUCAAGUCCAAAUCCAAAUCAAAUCAAAGGAAAAAGACAUCUAACCAAAUCGAAUCCACCAUGGACAACUAGAUGGACUUGGCAAAUUUUCUAGCUAAAUUUUCGUCGGGAUCUUUUGAUCCUCUUCUUUUUCCCUUUCACGACUCCCUCCGUGAUGGACUCAAACAUUGCCUUUCCAAUCCAAACUCUCCACGGGUCACAAGAUAAAAAGUCAGGUACAAUAUAAUAAACCAAUUAAAGAUGUCAUGAAGCAACAAAAUAACUUGCAAGGUAGCAAAGAUCAUAAGAGGAAGGAUUCAAGAUAAAAGAAAAUCAAGAUGAAAAAGAACUCUAAAAAGUUCCCCUACAAAGCAGAUCACACCCACCCUUACAAGUCCUGAACACGGGUCAUCGACGAGGUGGAGGAAGGUUUGUGGACGGCGCCAUGCAGAUUCGGCACGUAGCAAUGUCAUGGGGCAUGUCGAUGCGGCGGCGGAGAUCGGCUCGCUCGCAGCUACCCCGUGUGAAGCAGCAAGCCACGCACCUAAUGGACGGCACCGCUGGACGCACGCCGCUGCCGUCGCGUGCACUAGGGAAGCUGGCACGCAUGCGUUCAGGCAACCGCGCGCAAAGCUUGCACCCUGGCAUGAGAGCCAUCAUGGCCAUGCAUUUUCUCCCUAGAUGCUAUGGUGGUGCGUCGCUUUCCUGUGUAGAGUGAGUAGCACGAGAGGCGGCUGGAGCAAGGGAGAUAGAAGUGAGACA
rnacentral:lncRNA from 1 species